rnacentral:rRNA from 1 species
UACGAAGGGGGCUAGCGUUGUUCGGAAUCACUGGGCGUAAAGGGCGCGUAGGCGGCUAGAUAAGUCGGGGGUGAAAGCCUGUGGCUCAACCACAGAAUUGCCUUCGAUACUGUCUGGCUUGAGACCGGAAGAGGUUAGUGGAACUGCGAGUGUAGAGGUGAAAUUCGUAGAUAUUCGGAGGAACACCAGUGGCGAAGGCGGCUCACUGGUCCGGUACUGACGCUGAGGUGCGAAAGCGUGGGGAGCAAACAGG